GCGACCGGCGAAUGGGUGAGUAACACGUAUCCAACUGGCCCGCACUCGGGGACAGCCUUUCGAAAGAAAGAUUAAUACCCGAUGCGGCCGCGUUCCCACGUGGGAUUGCGGUCAAAGAUUCAUCGGUGCGGGAUGGGGAUGCGCCUGAUUAGGCAGUUGGCGGGGUAACGGCCCACCAAACCGACGAUCAGUAGGGGUUCUGAGAGGAAGGUCCCCCACAUUGGAACUGAGACACGGUCCAAACUCCUACGGGAGGCAGCAGUGAGGAAUAUUGGUCAAUGGGCGGAAGCCUGAACCAGCCAAGUAGCGUGCAGGACGACGGCCCUCUGGGUUGUAAACUGCUUUUGUGCGGGGGUAAAGUGACCCACGUGUGGGUUAUUGCAAGUACCGCACGAAUAAGCAUCGGCUAACCCCGUGCCAGCAGCCGCGGUAAUACGGAGGAUGCGAGCGUUAUCCGGAUUUAUUGGGUUUAAAGGGAGCGUAGGUGGCCGGUUAAGUCAGUUGUGAAAAGCAGGUGCUCAACAUCUGCCUUGCAGUUGAAACUGUCCGGCUUGAGCGUGUGAGAGGCAGGCGGAAUUCGUGGUGUAGCGGUGAAAUGCUUAGAUAUCACGAAGAACUCCGAUUGCGAAGGCAGCUUGCUGGCCCACGUCUGACACUAAUGCUCGAAAGUGCGGGUAUCGAACAGGAUUAGAUACCCUGGUAGUCCGCACAGUAAACGAUGAAUACUCGCUGUUUGCGAUAGAAUGUAAGCGGCCAAGCGAAAGCGUUAAGUAUUCCACCUGGGGAGUACGCCGGCAACGGUGAAACUCAAAGGAAUUGACGGGGGCCCGCACAAGCGGAGGAACAUGUGGUUUAAUUCGAUGAUACGCGAGGAACCUUACCCGGGCUUGAAUUGCAUACGACGUGCGCGGAGACGCGCAUCCCGCAAGG
rnacentral:rRNA from 1 species